GAGCGAGGUCGAUUUGUGGACUGCUUUUCUGGAAGAUGCCAUCAGGAGAAGGCAUGGAGUUGUAUGUCUAAAACAGAUGAUUUCCUCAACCCUGCACCCAAGAUGUCACAUUUAGCAGCGGAUUGUGAAAUGCUUGAGAACGGGAAUUAUAGGAGCAUUAUUUAAUGCUAAGUGUUAUCCACAUCGUAUCUGAAGCCUGAACAUGCCAGGAAAACAUCCUUCACACACUGCAAAUAAUCUAUCCGAGCAUUCAGGAUCAAUCAUGAAUUGGCUGGAUUAAAAGCACUGGGAGUGAAGUCAAGUUGAGGAAGAACCUCCUUGGGUGGGCAGAACAAAGUCGCAGUGCCCGUGGGAAGGCAGUGCCGAGUGAUGAGGAGCUGUGCCAGGGCUGGAGAAAGCUUGAGUCCUGCUGCAUCCCGAACGAAGCAGAGAUGAUGGGCUUGUGUGGCUUCAAGCAUAAGAAUCACAAUGUCUGGAUUAUUCAAACAAAUUCUGGAGCAGUCUUCUGACUUUUAAAUGCUUCCUGGAAUGACUUUGUGAAAAAUGAGCAGCCAAG